rnacentral:rRNA from 1 species
AUGCGCCAGGGAGAGGCCGAGGUUCCAGGCCCGGCCGUAGCGGACCGUCACGGCGGGGCGCUGGUGGCCGGCGGCGAAGUGGCCGAGGAGCGUCGCGCGGGAGCCCACGAAGACGCAGCCGGGCUCCGGGCAGGAGCAGGGCGCGCACCGGCACGCGCGCUGGUGGCCCGCGGCCUCGUGGUACACCAGGUAGCGGUCGCAGCCGAACGCCCUGUAGGGGCAGGGCACCUUGACGGCGCCGACGACGACGUCCAGCUCGCCGCAGUGGGCGCUGGCGCGGCUGCAGAGCCCCGCGUGGCCGGCGCGGCAGAAGCAGCACACCACGUGCCCGGCGGCCUCGCACUGCGGCCACAACCACCCCCAAAUCAUCAAUCAGCUUCCUCUCAAAUUUCAUCCUCGUGCUUGCAAAGAAAUCCUUCCUCUCAAAAAGAGGAGAUGGAAAGAGGGUUUUUUGGGUUCUUGGAGACAAACUUGUGUUCUUGGCAAAACAGGAUCGUGGAUCACUGUGGGUGA